rnacentral:rRNA from 1 species
CRACCUGAAAUCARACAAGAUUACCCGCUGAAUUUAAGCAUA